GACGAACGCUGGCGGCGUGCUUAACACAUGCAAGUCGAACGGAAAGGCCUGUCCUUCCUUGUGUUGGACGGGUACUCGAGUGGCGAACGGGUGAGUAACACGUGAGUGAUCUGCCCCCAACUUGGGUAUAAGCCUGGGAAACUGGGUCUAAUUCCCGAUAGGACUGCAGGGUGGUGCCUGUGGUGGAAAACGAUUUUCUAGUGGUUGGGGAUGAGCUCGCGGCCUAUCAGCUUGUUGGUGGGGUAAUGGCCUACCAAGGCGGCGACGGGUAGCCGGCCUGAGAGGGUGGACGGCCAGAUUGGGACUGAGAUACGGCCCAGACUCCUACGGGAGGCAGCAGUGGGGAAUAUUGCACAAUGGGCGGAAGCCUGAUGCAGCGACGCCGCGUGGGGGAUGACGGCCUUCGGGUUGUAAACUCCUUUCGACCGCGAGGAAGCCGCCUGGUUGGAAGGGUGGUGACGGUAGUGGUAGAAGAAGCACCGGCUAACUACGUG
rnacentral:rRNA from 1 species